rnacentral:rRNA from 1 species
UACGGGGGGGGGCAAGCGUUGUUCGGAAUUACUGGGGCGUAAAGGGCGCGUAGGCGGCCUGCUAAGUCGGACGUGAAAUCCCCUCGGCUCAACCGGGAACUGCGUCCGAUACUGGUGGGCUCGAAUCCGGGAGAGGGAUGUGGAAUUCCAGGUGUAGCGGUGAAAUGCGUAGAUAUCUGGAGGAACACCGAUGGCGAAGGCAGCCCCCCUGGCUAACACUGACGCUGAUGCACGAAAGCGUGGGAGCAAACAGG